GACAGAGGAUGCAAGCGUUAUCCGGAAUGAUUGGGCGUAAAGCGCGCGUAGGCGGCUUUUCAAGUCGAUUGUGAAAUCCCCGGGCUUAACCUGGGAACUGCAGUCGAGACUGUCUAGCUAGAGUAUGGGAGAGGGAAGUGGAAUUUCAGGUGUAGCGGUGAAAUGCGUAGAUAUCUGAAGGAACAUCAGUGGCGAAAGCGACUUCCUGGACCAAUACUGACGCUCAUGUGCGAAAGCGUGGGGAGCAAACAGG
rnacentral:rRNA from 1 species